CCUACGGGAGACAGCAGUCGAGAAUCAUUCACAAUGGGGGAAACCCUGAUGGUGCGACGCCGCGUGGGGGAAUGAAGGUCUUCGGAUUGUAAACCCCUGUCAUGUGGGAGCAAAUUAAAAAGAUAGUACCACAAGAGGAAGAGACGGCUAACUCUGUGCCAGCAGCCGCGGUAAUACAGAGGUCUCAAGCGUUGUUCGGAAUCACUGGGCGUAAAGCGUGCGUAGGCUGUUUCGUAAGUCGUGUGUGAAAGGCGCGGGCUCAACCCGCGGACGGCACAUGAUACUGCGAGACUAGAGUAAGGGAGGGGGAACCGGAAUUCUCGGUGUAGCAGUGAAAUGCGUAGAUAUCGAGAGGAACACUCGUGGCGAAGGCGGGUUCCUGGACAUUAACUGACGCUGAGGCACGAAGGCCAGGGGAGCGAAAGGGAUUAGAUACCCCUGUAGUC
rnacentral:rRNA from 1 species